rnacentral:lncRNA from 1 species
UGGAGUGAUCAAGCCAACAACUCCAAUAGGCUCUUUAAGAACAUAAGAUUUAAAUGUUUCCAUAGGAAGAGAUACAGGGGCUCUUUGUUUUCCAUCCAAGGCCUCUGCAAGGUCUGCAUAAUACUCAAAACACCCAGCAACAUCAUCCAUGUCCCAUGCUGCUUCAUCCAGAGGCUUCCCGCAGUCUAGUGUCUCUAGCUUAGCCAGCUCAGAUUUCCUCUCGGUUAUCUUGGCGGCGAUCGCACGGAGAUAUUUGGCACGAGCAGCACCGGAGGUGCGGGCCCAGUCCUUGCCCCGAUUCCUUUUGAGAGCCCUCCGGGCGGCGGCCACCGCCAGCUCCACGUCCUCCGACGUCGCCGCGGGUAUGUCCCCGAUGGGCUCCUCGGUGGCAGGAUUGAUGACGGGGAUUCGCUUCUGGCGGACGGGCUCUCUCCAUUCGCCAUCGAUGAAGAGCUGGCGGCGAGGGAUCGCAACCGACAUGCUUCUCGCUUGCAGAGACUUGCAGCUGACGGAGAGAGAGAAAGAGCGGCGACUUACAUGUACAAGAAGACGGGAAGUUGCACUGCAUAUUUGACCAUUUGUCCAAAAGCACCCAAAAAGAGCCCAUUCGACAGCUGUUUAAAAAUUGUAGACAAACUUCAAUAUAUGGUCUUUUACUGAUGAAGACUUACAACUACCAAGCAAUAUUCAAGGUAAACACACAAGUGUCACUUUUAUUUCAUAAAACACAAUCUUCAGCUGCUACUUCUUAGAUUACCAAGUAACUGUAUGUAACUGCCCAGAGUAUAAUUUGGACAUAAAAUUGCUUCUAGUAAAUAUUUUCCAGUUUCCACCAUCAUAAACAAAGUAUAAGAGAGAGAACUUUCUACAACUGAGAGAAGUGCGUGAUACUCAAGACAUACCUUUCUCGAUGUCCACAUCUUCAAAUACAAUAAUGGGACUUUUACCACCAAGUUCCAAUGAAACAGGCUGACCAAAAAAAGAAAGAGAAGAGAGAGAGAGAGAGAUAAGAAAUAAAGUAUACAGACCCUUACAUCAAAAGAAAUGAGAUAAGGAUAAACAAAUCAUAAAUUAACAAAUAUGAGAAAAUGCAGGAGAGCACAGUAGGAGACCUACUCAAGACAACCUAAAUGAUUACAGAGGUAAUCUUCAACUUUUUAACAAACCUUGACUGUUUGUGCAGCAGAAGUCAUAAUCCUUCUACCAGUUUCUGUACUUCCAGUAAAUGCAAUCUACCAUAACAGAUGAAUUAAUUUUUCAAGUGAGGCAUCAUAGUUGAUGAAGAAAGAAUUUAUGAUAGCACUACUGCACUAUUCAGAAUAUACAAACAUCAGGAAAGAUAACUGAACCUUAUCCACAUGAGGAUGGGAUGCUAAAGGAGCGCCGGCUUCAGGACCAAACCCAGUCACUAUGUUUAGGACACCCGGAGGGAGUCCAACUUCCUUGCACACGUCAGCAAGCUCUAAACAUGUUCUGAUGAUAAAAUAAUUUUAGACUCUGCCUGGUAUGUUUUAAGAUGAAGAGAAUUAAAUCAUCAUAAGCCUUACACAGAAGCCAACUCAGAUGGCUUUAGUACAGCUGUACAACCAGCAGCCAAGGCAGGAGCAACCUUCCAUACAGCCAUUAAUAGAGGAUAGUUCCUUCAUCAAAAAAUUAAUAUAUAGAGUUAUAUUUCCAUCUGUCAGUUACAUCAUUUUUAGCCCUAACCCAUUAGUGUAAAAUACAUGAUGGGGCGUUAAAAAUAAAACCCACAAUGUUAAGCAAAUUCUAAAGUAUUGAAAACACAUAAAAGACCAAAAAUGAAAUGUUAGGAAGAUUUCUUAGUUAUACAUUAGGUAGUCAUAAAUCAGAAAAUUUAGUGGCAUGAGACAAUGUUUUAAUUUGAUUCAUGGUUCAGAUGCAUCCACAUAUGCUGAGUCUGAGCCUCUGGAUACUAUUAGAUGCCUAUCAUAUCAAUAACAAUUCUGAAUUCAUAUGGUUUACCAUAUAUUUUAGCACUCCAUAUCUGUCGUGGCAUCUAUUUUUGUUUGAUUGAUGGAUAGGCAAGAGGCCUCCAAUACAUUUUUUUUGCUGAAUUUAGACUUCAUAAUUCACUUUCACAAUUUUGUGGAGGAACAUGUUGUAUCAAGAUAGAAGGGUGUUCAGCUAUGCCUGACAAUAAAUGCAAGCAUUACUCGACCAUUCACAUUGUGCUUACACAAUGACAAAACUAGUUUCAAGUGUUGGUAGUGCUAUUUAACAAUUGGUGAACCAUUCAUGAUACCCCCCCCCCCCCAACCACACACACACAACAAAAAAAACCUACCAUGAGAUCAUUAUGAUGCUUAUGCUUAAGUCUUCACCUCACAUUAACCCUUGUAUGCUAUGUGUAAGCCUCACUUUGUGGAAUCUCAUGUGAAAGUAUCAUCCUGAGGCAUGAAGCCUAGUAAGCCUCACAUGGCUUUUUCCUUUAAUGAUGCUUUUAUACCCUCUAUUGUAAUAAUAUAACCAUAAUAGGCCUCUUCCUUCUACAAACGCACGUAAUACAUUGAUCUUGCAAGUAUUACAUUUUAAGAUCGUAGUCACUUAAGUUGUUUCUUUCCUUCUUUUGCAUUUCAGCUCCAAGUCAUAUUAUUCUGACAAAUUAAACUCUUUUAGGUUCUCUUGAAUCAACACCCAUGAUCUCCUACCAAGCAUCCCACCAUGUUCAUGGCAUUCAACUCUCCUCAAAACCUUAGACAGAGUAGACCAAAAUGCUGCAGUAAGAUUCACAAUCUCGAUAGUGGACCCCAUAUUGGUACCAUAUUGGUGCAUUAUCAGUACUCCGGAUAUGAGGGUAGCUUCGGUGUACCAACACUUGAUACACCCCCCAUAACAAGUUGAUUUGAUACUGGUAUGAUAUGGUAGGCCUGAUAUUGCAUAUUCUUACUCCAAAAGAUCAUAUGAACAAAAGAUAUUGGACACUAAUGAUGAUAAGGAAAAGGAUCAACCAUAAGAACCAUGGAGUGUAUUACGAGGACUCCAAAGAAGAGGGUCUCUACUCCUUUCAACUCUAAAAUCAAUAAUAGAUCAUCCAAAUCAAAGAUCUAUACAGUUGAAUAUGAUCUAUACCACUAAAAAUACCUAGAAACCAAGAAUCAUGUGUUAUGAUGAUCUCUAACCUAUGCAUCAUGUGGACAUAAAAAUGAGUGGUUAAAGUAGCAUGAGACAAUGCUUGCUAUAAUAAGUAAUAACAUCUAUUGUUUUUCAAUUUAUAUAUAUAUUAACAUAUGUAGAUCAUGAUCGAUAAGAUCGAUUCUCAAUUUAAAUGCUAUCAUGUAUGCGAGCACACUAGCACCAUUGAAACUGUCCAAUUUUGUAUCUAUAUGAUGCAUAGGUUAGAGACCAUCAAAAUACAUGAUUUUUGAUUUCUAGAAAUUUUUAGUAUAUAGACCAUAAUCAACAGUGUGAAUCUUCAAUUUGGAUGCCCUAUCAUUGAUCCUGGAGUUAAAAGAAAUAGAUGCCCUCUCCCUCUUGAGAGGAGCAUAUAUUUCUUUAAGGGGCUGCAUAUUUGUAAAUCUAAAAUUAUGUUCAACAAUUAAUAACAACUUGACGAAAAACAGAGUCAUUAAAAAAACUUUUUCCAUCCUACUUAAGAGUUGCCUUUUGGAUCCUGCUGUAUGAAAUAUUUCAAGCGUAUAAUAUGAUGCACAAAAGAACAUAGCUCAAACACCAGGUAGAACAUGCAAAAAGAUCAUGAAAAAGGAAAUGAUAGCAGGAAGUUAAUCAAACACUAUGUAUGAUCAUAUACCAUGGAGUGAUCAAGCCAACAACUCCAAUAGGCUCUUUAAGAACAUAAGAUUUAAAUGUUUCCAUAGGAAGAGAUACAGGGGCUCUUUGUUUUCCAUCCAAGGCCUCUGCAAGGUCUGCAUAAUACUCAAAACACCCAGCAACAUCAUCCUGGAUAAAAGGAAAAGCAGGUAAGAAGCAGAUGUAUGGAUGUUCAUUGUUCAAAAAAUGAACCCUCCAAGAAUCAGCAAAUUUACCAUGUCCCAUGCUGCUUCAUCCAGAGGCUUCCCGCAGUCUAGUGUCUCUAGCUUAGCCAGCUCAGAUUUCCUCUCGGUUAUCUGCAUCAAAUCGAGGGUUNNNNNNNNNNNNNNNNNNNNUGAAAAUUACUAUUGUCCACUUAAGAGUACGUUUUACUUGAAACUUUGCCGAAUUAGAAUUUAGAAUUCACUAUCCCUUUUCUAUCGCAAAUUUUAUCUCAUUAUUAAUUAUUGAAAUACAUCUUGAUCUCAUUCUACUAAUGUACCGAGAAUGACGAACUUAGUAAUGAUGUAUCAUAUUACCUUGUAGUAUUUAAUUAGAUAUUCCUUCAAUGGUUAUGUUAAUCAUCAAAAUACCACUAUCAUCCUCAUCAACAAUUAUUAUUAUUAUUAUUAUUUUCUUUCCUUUCUCAGAAACAAAACCCAAAACUUCCUGAAUAUAAAAUUGCCCUCAUGACUUGAUGCACAAAGAAAACCAAAAAAGGGAAUAAGAGGGAAAAGAAACCUCAGCCAUGUCUAUGUUACAAAACAAGAAUCAUAAUAACUAGCUUCAUAUUCCAAGAGAAAUAUAUAAAGAUCCGACAAAUCCGGGAUAGAAAGCUACAUCCAGGUACCACGAUCAAAUAAUUGACGGGAUGAAUCGGAUAGAAGGGAUACCUUGGCGGCGAUCGCACGGAGAUAUUUGGCACGAGCAGCACCGGAGGUGCGGGCCCAGUCCUUGCCCCGAUUCCUUUUGAGAGCCCUCCGGGCGGCGGCCACCGCCAGCUCCACGUCCUCCGACGUCGCCGCGGGUAUGUCCCCU